rnacentral:rRNA from 1 species
AGAGUUUGAUCCUGGCUCAGAAUGAACGUUGGCGGCGUGGAUUAGGCAUGCAAGUCGUACGCACAGCAAUGUGAGUGGCGCAAGGGUGAGUAAUGCGAAGGUAACCAACCCUGAAGUUGGGCAUAGCCGCGGGAAACUGCGGGUAAUUCCCAGCGACGUUGCGAGAUGGCAUCAUUUUGCAACCAAAGGUGUGAUUCCGCUUUAGGACGGGCCUUCGUGGUAUUAGGUAGUUGGUGAGGUAACGGCUCACCAAGCCUACGAUGCCUACCGGGUGUGAGAGCAUGACCCGGCACACUGGAACUGAGACACUGUCCAGACACCUACGGGUGGCUGCAGUCGAGAAUCUUCGGCAAUGGGCGAAAGCCUGACCGAGCGACGCCGCGUGAGGGAUUGAAGGCCUUCGGGUUGUAAACCUCUUUCGUAGAGGAGGAAGGGGCUGUGAAGAACAGUCCUUGACCUAUUCUAGGAAGAAGCUUGGGCUAAGUUCGUGCCAGCAGCCGCGGUAAGACGAACCAAGCGAACGUUAUUCGGAAUUACUGGGCUUAAAGCGCGUGUAGGCGGACUACCACGUUGGUUGUUGAAAUCCCCCGGCUUAACCGGGGAACUGGCACCAAUACGAGUAGUCUGGAGGUGGGUAGGGGAGACUGGAACUUCCGGUGGAGCGGUGAAAUGCGUUGAGAUCGGAAGGAACGCCCGCGGCGAAAGCGAGUCUCUGGACCCAUACUGACGCUGAGACGCGAAAGCCAGGGGAGCAAACGGGAUUAGAUACCCCGGUAGUCCUGGCUGUAAACAUUGGGCACUGGGUAGUGGAACCGCCGAUGGUUUCACUGCCGCA